UAGGGAAUCUUCCGCAAUGGACGCAAGUCUGACGGAGCAACGCCGCGUGAGUGAAGAAGGAUUUCGGUUCGUAAAACUCUGUUGUUAGAGAAGAACAGCGCAUAGAGUAACUGUUAUGCGUGUGACGGUAUCUAACCAGAAAGCCACGGCUAACUACGUGCCAGCAGCCGCGGUAAUACGUAGGUGGCAAGCGUUGUCCGGAUUUAUUGGGCGUAAAGCGAGCGCAGGCGGUCAAUUAAGUCUGAUGUGAAAGCCCCCGGCUCAACCGGGGAGGGUCAUUGGAAACUGGUUGACUGGAGUGCAGAAGAGGAGAGUGGAAUUCCAUGUGUAGCGAUGAAAUGCGUAGAUAUAUGGAGGAACACCAGUGGCGAAGGCGACUCUCUGGUCUGUAACUGACGAUGAGGCUCGAAAGCGUGGGUAGCAAACAGG
rnacentral:rRNA from 1 species